GCAAGAGUAGCUCAGUGGUAGAGCAGCCGAAAUGAAUCGGCAGGUCGUUGGUUCGAUUCCAACCAGUUGCAACA
rnacentral:tRNA from 1 species